rnacentral:rRNA from 1 species
UAAGGUGAUUAUAGCAAUAGGGUUCCACCUCUUCCCAUUCCGAACAGAGAAGUUAAGCCUAUUAACGCCGAUGGUACUACGCAAGUGGG